AUUGAACGCUGGCGGCAUGCCUUACACAUGCAAGUCGAACGGUAACAGGUUAAGCUGACGAGUGGCGAACGGGUGAGUAAUGUAUCGGAACGUGCCCAGUCGUGGGGGAUAACUGCUCGAAAGAGCAGCUAAUACCGCAUACGACCUGAGGGUGAAAGCGGGGGAUCGCAAGACCUCGCGCGAUUGGAGCGGCCGAUAUCGGAUUAGGUAGUUGGGGAGGUAAAGGCUCACCAAGCCGACGAUCUGUAGCUGGUCUGAGAGGACGACCAGCCACACUGGGACUGAGACACGGCCCAGACUCCUACGGGAGGCAGCAGUGGGGAAUUUUGGACAAUGGGCGCAAGCCUGAUCCAGCCAUGCCGCGUGCGGGAAGAAGGCCUUCGGGUUGUAAACCGCUUUUGUCAGGGAAGAAAAGGUUCUGGCUAAUACCUGGGACUCAUGACGGUACCUGAAGAAUAAGCACCGGCUAACUACGUGCCAGCAGCCGCCGUAAUAC
rnacentral:rRNA from 1 species